GGAUGUGAAGGCAAUCUGGCUGUGAAAUCUGUUACCACAUUGGUCGCCAGAGUUGAUUCGGCUGACCUGACUAGCUAGACGGGUGUCCCCUUCCUCCCUCACUACUCCAUGUGCAACUGUCCCUUCCGAAGCUGCGUGCUCAUGCUCAACUGAAAAGGAUGACUGGUCUUCGGUCAAGGGUAUAUGAGUAGCUGCGCUCCAUUGCUAGAACCUUCAAACAAACUCUCAAGAAUCAAGGGUCUUAUGUGAUGGAUCCUCAGGUGGAGCAGUCUCUUAAUCCCUUUGAUUCUUUCCAGCCAUGUAUGUAACAGAGGAUGGCAUUG
rnacentral:snRNA from 1 species